GUCAUCGCGGGCGCGACGCCUGAGGGACAGGCUGGGGUUUGGCUGUCCGGAAGGUGCAGCGGCGAGGCCGGCCGCGAAGAUGCCAGUGGCGGUGAUGGCGGAAAGCGCCUUUAGUUUCAAAAAGUUGCUGGAUCAGUGCGAGAACCAGGAGCUCGAGGCCCCUGGAGGAAUUGCUACACCCCCAGUGUAUGGUCAGCUUCUAGCUUUAUAUUUGCUCCAUAAUGACAUGAAUAAUGCAAGAUAUCUUUGGAAAAGAAUACCACCUGCUAUAAAAUCUGCAAAUUCUGAACUUGGGGGAAUUUGGUCAGUAGGACAAAGAAUCUGGCAGAGAGAUUUCCCUGGGAUCUAUACAACAAUCAACGCUCACCAGUGGUCUGAGACGGUCCAGCCAAUUAUGGAAGCACUUAGAGGUGUGGUCCUGUAUUAGAGACCUUUUUGAAAAGGACAGCUGAUUACGCAAAUCAGUUUUCUGCUCCUUUGAUUCCAGCAUUUGUAAAUGAAAUAAGAUAAGUAAAAUUUAUAUCCCCAUUGCAUAAACAUACUGCAUUUUCUUAGGGUUAGAGCCUUGUGUUUAGUAACCUUUUUCCAUCUUUGUAAUUUUCAUUAUCUGAGAUUUUUCAUCCAAGAGGAAGAGUAAGAAAUGUAUUUUUUUCCAGCAAUAUUUGAACCCCCCUUACAUACUGGGCAUAUAUAUUUGUAUCUAUAAGCACAGAAAUCUUUGGGUUCAUCUGGCCUUGCUUAUGAAAACUGAACAAGGACAGUGGUGUGAUUUAACAAUGUGCUUUGAAAAUGCUGCUCCCUGGUUCACUCUCUGCCAACCCACCACUCCCACAAUAGAUGCAACAAGGAGACGCGCCUUUGCCCUGGUCUCUCAAGCAUAUACUUCAAUCAUCGCCGAUGAUUUUGCAGCCUUUGUUGGACUUCCUGUAGAAGAGGCUGUGAAAGGCAUAUUAGAACAAGGAUGGCAAGCUGAUUCCACCACAAGAAUGGUUCUGCCCAGAAAGC
rnacentral:sRNA from 1 species